rnacentral:snRNA from 1 species
UCAUACAGAGAUUACCAUGGCCCCUGCCCAAGGAUGACACACAAAUUCGUGAAGUGUUCCAUAUUCAU